rnacentral:rRNA from 1 species
AGCAGCCGCGGUAAUUCCAGCUCCAAUAGCGUAUAUUAAAGUUGUUGCAGUUAAAAAGCUCGUAGUUGAAUUUCGAGACCGGUUUACUGGUCGUGCUUUUGUACGUACUGGUAUUAUUGGUUUCUCCUUUCUGACGAAUCUUAAUGCCAUUAAUUUGGUGUUUUGGGGAAUCAGGACUGUUACUUUGAAAAAAUUAGAGUGUUUAAAGCAGGCUCACGCUUGAAUACAUUAGCAUGGAAUAACGAAAUAGGACGUUUGAUUUUAUUUUGUUGGUUUCUAGGAUCGACGUAAUGAUUAAUAGGGAUAGUUGGGGGCAUUAGUAUUCAAUUGUCAGAGGUGAAAUUCUUGGAUUUAUUGAAGACUAACUACUGCGAAAGCAUUUGCCAAGGAUGUUUUCAUUAAUCAAGAACGAAAGUUAGGGGAUCGAAGACGAUCAGAUACCGUCGUAGU